CCGGAGUGAUCCGGCUGCGGGCCAGGGUCUGGGAAGGGGGUGGUGGGUCGCCGUUUCAUCAGAAGCCGGAGGACGGGCGCCAGGGGGCAACUUCCUACAGGAGGGCGUCCCGUUAGAAUGACAGGGCUUUUGCAAAAGUCUGACACCCGUGGCACAGAGCGCCCCAGAUAUGGAGGGUUUCACAGGCUCAUGUGUGGCUUCUUCAGUCCUCUCUUCAUUCACUCAUGUAUUCAUUUAUUCAACGACAUAUUACUAAGGAACCUCCUUAAGCCGGGAUGCUGAACGUGGAAAAAUAGGUGAAAUAUAAUUUUACCCCUGAGAAGCUCAUAGGCUAAAAAAAAUAUUGAUUUGGGAUAAAUGUAUGUUAAGUUGACUCUUGAACAAUGUGGGGGCUUGGGGCACCAACCCCCUGUGCAGUUGAAAAUCGACAUAUAACUUUGACUCGCCAAAAACUUCACUACAAUAGCCUGCUGCCAACCUGAAGUCUUACCAAUAACAUCAACAGUCAAUUAAACAUAUUACUAGGCUGAAAAGGAGAAGGAAGUGAAGGGGUUGGUCUUGCCGUCUCACGAGUGGCAGAGGCAGGAGAAAAUCCAAAUGUCUGGGAUGUUUCUCUUGCAUGCCUCUGGAAUCAAAUGACUCUGAUACUGCAAGCACUUCAGAGUAUGUAUAAGCAAUUUCAGCUGGUUCCGUCCUGAUAUUUACAAAACUGCCUGGAUCAUACUUACAACCAUGCAAUGAUAUAUAUUUCUAUUAAGAAAGCAACGAUUUGCUUGAAAGAUGAAGGAAAACAAACUAAGUAUUUAUGUACAAUGAGUCCUAAGUGUACACCACUAUGUUUUCCAUCAGCUUUUGAUUUUCUGUCACUCCUCUUUUUCUUUGAAAUUUAGAGUCAGAAGUGAACUGACUUCAUGGUUUUCCUCAUGAUUAUUUGAUAUCCUCUAGGGAAUCAUGACUUAAAGACUGCAUUCUUCCUUCUCAAAACUCAUGUUAAAGAUUUCUCCAUGCAGAGCCACAGGCUAUUUUGGAGUUUGAAAUGGAGCAGUUAAAACUAGGAGGUCACACACGUUGAGAUUAUUCCUUCACUGCAUCUCGCCCGGCUUGUGUGCCUGAGGAGACACGCAUCUCAGAGGGCAGAGGGGCAGCCGUUGUCUAGUGAGGUUAUUUCACCUACUAUAUAAUAAAAUGUACAGGACAAUA
rnacentral:lncRNA from 1 species